GGGUGCUUGAGGCUGUUUGCCUGGAGCAUUCGUGAAAGGCAGACAGAGAAAAGCCCCAGUUAACAUUCGGCGUCUUGCAGGACGCUUAACAUUAAACUGAGGCCACAUCUAUGCUCUACACACGUAGAUUAGCCUCUUACGGACCGAAAGGUCAAGGAGAAGUAGGCUAUGAAG
rfam:Salmonella enterica subsp. enterica serovar Kentucky str. CDC 191 gcontig_1106389417490, whole genome shotgun sequence.